UGGAGCCUGGAACCUGCUUCGGGUUCUGUGUCUCCCUCUCUCUCUUCCCCUCCUCUGCUCACACUCUGUCUCUCAAAAAAAUGAAUACAGAUUUAAAAAAAUUAAAAAAAUAAUAAAGGCAAUGAUGACCUGAGUAGGUCCCUCCUCACGCAGAGGAAAAUAAAUUAUCCUCUGAGCCCAAAGGGGCUCAGAGCAGAGGUGUACAAAGUCACCUUAAAGAUACAGAGUGGCUCCCAGGUAGCCCAACUGCUGAAAACUUGAUCAAAUGUACUAAAUUUUCUAAAGAAAGAAAGCAUCAUUAAGAGGGGGUUGGUUGGUUAUGGAAAUUAGAGAAAGGAUAAUCCCUGAAGCAAAAGCUGUUGGUGCCUAUUCAAACACCAUCCUGGGAAAGGAGUGCCCAGCCAGUGUGUGACACAGGAAUGACUAUUGUAGAAAUGGUCUAAUGGGCCACCCAAAUUUGCUGGGACCACGCCCUUGAGUCAUGUACCUCCUGCCCUUGCUCUGAUGCCAUGCUGCCAGAUAAACACCAGCUAACCUAUCUUUCCUGUCCUCUACGGAAGAAUGGCCUACUUGAGAUGGCAUGUGCAUCUGAUCUAUUUCUCACUGGAAAGAAUCAAUGAGCAUGUGGCUCCUGUGACCAUGAGUCUGCCUUCAGGCAAGUCUGGGACCCUCCUAAGAUUUAGUAAGGCCUGGGGCAAGACCCUGGACCAUUGUAAAUCGCCAAGGAAAAGGGCAACCUGGGUCGGGGUGAGUGACAAACCCACUUUCUUCAAACCCCUGAACCUAACAACAAACACUGGUUGGUUGAUGCAUUCCCCUGGGAGGAAGACCUGGAGAAAAAUCAAGCUUUGCCCUUGCUCUCCAGAGGCUUAAGCAUCUCUGUGAUUUUAGUUGCCAUUGAUGUUGCUAUUGUUUCAGUAAAGCCACAGGGUCAAGGCUAUGACCCUUGACAAGGUAACCUGGAACGAUAGUCAUUUGAACAAGCCUGCAUUUUCAAAUAUAGUUAGUCACAAUCAUAGUUAGUGGACAAUGUCUUUACUCAUUAUUUGGUGUUAUUUGGUUCCAUUUUCAAAUGGAUUUCUGAAUCCAUUGCAAAGCUCCAAAUUCUGGAACUUCAACAAGAGGCCACCUGCAGAGAUGGAUUGUCCAUAGCAGUCCCUGUUUUGCUGGCAUAUGGCUCACCUAUGCAGGGGAUGCCACAUUGCGAUUGGUCAUCAUGUCUCCUUAGACUCCACUUGGCUGUAUCAGUCUCUCAGACUUCACUUGCUUUUGAUGGCCUGGACAGUUUUUAAGAGUACAGGUCAAGUAUUUUGUAGAAUGUCUCUCAGUUGUGAUUUGUCUGAUAUUUUCUUUGCGAUUAGACUGGGGUUAUGUUUUGGGGAAAGGCCACAGAGAAAGAGCAUCAUUUUCAUCACAUCAUAUCAGAAGUAUGUACUAUCAACAUGACUUAUCACUGUUGAUGUAUGUCAGGCUUCUGCAAAUAAAGAUAAUUUUUU